rnacentral:rRNA from 1 species
GAUGAACGCUAGCUACAGGCUUAACACAUGCAAGUCGAGGGGCAGCGGUAUCGAAAGCUUGCUUUCGGUAGCCGGCGACCGGCGCACGGGUGAGUAACGCGUAUCGAACCUGCCUCAUACUCGGGAAUAGCCUUGCGAAAGUAAGAUUAAUGCACGGUGUUUUCAGCGUCCCGCAUGAGGCUUUGAACAAAGAUUUAUCGGUAUGAGAUGGCGAUGCGUCCCAUUAGCUUGUUGGCGGGGUAACGGCCCACCAAGGCAACGAUGGGUAGGGGUCCUGAGAGGAAGGUCCCCCACAUUGGAACCGAGACACGGUCCAAACUCCUACGGGAGGCAGCAGUGAGGAAUAUUGGGCAAUGGGCGGAAGCCUGAACCAGCCAAGUAGCGUGCAGGAAGACGGCCCUCCGGGUUGUAAACUGCUUUGAGUGGGGAAUAAAACGGGGCUCGUGAGCCCCCUUGCAUGUACCAUCAGAAAGAGGACCGGCUAAUUCCGUG